rnacentral:snoRNA from 1 species
GCACCUUGUGUAUGUUUGUUCAGUUGGUGAACAAAGGCAUGAAACGGGCAGAAAUCCUCUUCCGCAACCCAGAACUCAUUGUUCGGCAUGAGUUUUGACACACACAAGAAGUAUG